GUGAGGAAUAUUGGUCAAUGGGCGAGAGCCUGAACCAGCCAAGUCGCGUGAAGGAUGAAGGUUUUAUGAAUUGUAAACUUCUUUUGCAGGGGAAUAAAGUACGGUACGUGUACCGUUUUGUAUGUACUCUGCGAAUAAGGAUCGGCUAACUCCGUGCCAGCAGCCGCGGUAAUACGGAGGAUCCAAGCGUUAUCCGGAUUUAUUGGGUUUAAAGGGUGCGCAGGCGGGUUGAUAAGUCAGCGGUGAAAGUUUGCAGCUUAACUGUAAAAUUGCCGUUGAAACUGUCGAUCUUGAGUGCAAAUGAGGUAAGCGGAAUGUGUUGUGUAGCGGUGAAAUGCUUAGAUAUAACACAGAACACCGAUUGCGAAGGCAGCUUACUGGGAUGCAACUGACGCUCAUGCACGAAAGCGUGGGGAUCAAACAGGAUUAGAAACCCGGGUAGUCA
rnacentral:rRNA from 1 species